rnacentral:misc_RNA from 1 species
GUUGUUAUUUGAUUAGCAUAGUCCUUGACCCAAGUUAUAAUAAAAUGUGUCAGCCUAGUUAUUUCUUUAAAUUGUUCAUCCGUUGACUAAGCACGUGGUAGCUUUAGUGGGAUAAAUUUUAUUGAGUUUAAUGCUCAUGUAGGCCUCGAUCGGACCCGAUAAGUAUUAUUUUGUUCCACGCUAAUUUAGCACUUGUCGAUUACUGCAUAUUUUGAAAUCUAGUUAUGUUCUAAUCCCUUUUUGUUUGCCUCUGGAUGCUACUGGAAAGAGAAAAAGAAACUUUGUACCUGUUUUAAUUCACCGCAUCAAUAUUUAGUGUCA